AUGGCAAAGUUUUGGUGGAGUGGGUCUCUUGAUCGCAGCUCGUUGCGUUGGGUGGCAUGGGACAAACUUGCAUCUCCAAAAGCCCGAGGUGGCAUGGGUUUUCGUGAUUUGGAAUUGUUCAAUCUCGCGCUUUUAGGCAAACAUGGAUAGAGAUUUAUGACAAAUCCUAACUCUCUUUGUGCAAGGGUCAUGAAGGGGCGUUAUUUUCCCGAUUGUGAGUUCAUGGAAGCUACAAUUCCACAGUCUGCUUCCGCGAUUUGGCGAGCUAUUGUGUCAGGAAGGGAGCACUCACAGUUGGUUUGA
rnacentral:rRNA from 1 species